AUGGCUGAAGCGGUAUGAAGGGUGAGGCGGGAUGAGGAAUAACGCGGGAUGAGGCUGCCCGGCAAUGGCGGGGAUGGAUCCGCCGCUCGCCCGCCCGGUUCUGGCGGGGCCAUGACCGGGCCAUGGCUGUGGGCGAGCGGAAAGCAGCGGGCCCGGCCGCCGGUGGCGUUUCCCUCAGUGCGGCUCGUUCUCUCUGUGUUUGUGCUGCCUUCAGACGCUACCAGCACUGUUUGAAUUACCCUCUCGGUAUUUUGGUAUAAAUCAUCGGGUGUGCUCCACAUGGAAGGGUGGAUCUGUGACCGAAAGGCAGACGGUCAGAUACAGUGUCUCCUUGGAAGUGCAGGCUACAGACGCUCAGCCCUUCUGAUGGGAGAAGUGCACAGAGACCUUUGAAGGUUUUGACAGAAGAUAAAGAGCUGGCCCUGGCACCUCUUGGAUACAAAGUCAGAUGGCAUUCAGAUACUUGGAAAUUGGUCAGAGAUUUGGCAAAGCAUGAGGAAUAAACAGCCUAAUCCAAGGAAAUACUCACAGCACAAUUUGCUGAUGCAAUCCUUGCUUGCCCUCUGCCCCCUGAACUUUCACAUGAAUUCAUUCAACCACUGCUGCAGCCAAAACCCACAGUUUAAAGGAGAGGGAAUGGAAAAUAAAAAGUUUUCUGCAUGAGCCCUGUGCUCCAUCAUCUCAGGGGAGCUCUGCAAACACCAGGGCAAGGUGAAGCAAGAGGAGAUGGCUGGCAGGGCCCUGGGGAAGGGCAGGCACAGCCUCUUCUUUUUGGCUGCAGAGAGCUCUGAAAUUCUCUCAUCUCAUUAAAGGCACCUUUGCUUUACACCUCUGUUGUGGAUGAGCACUGGAGAAAAGCUGGAGGCUUCGACCUAUGAAAAAUUAAAGUUUUUUCCAUCUGGAGCUCAUAGAAUAGUCUUUAUUGUGUGGAGACACAUCAAGACUCUUAUCCUUGGGGCCUAAGGACCACUGUCCCCUUGCAGAUUUUAAGAAGUGUGGCCAAAGUAGCUUUAAUGCAGAUUGAUGUUACAAACAUUGCUGCCCAUGGAAUUCUGGUCCUGAUUUUCUGUCUUUCAGCCCUUGACAGCACCUGUACACCUUGGCCUUUCACUGAAUUAGUGCUCUCACACCACCACACAUGAAAACGGCUCUUCAGAAGCAUUUGUAGACUCCUGCAGGAGAUUCUUGCUGAAAUGAUUAUUCUAGUUCUAACACCUGCCUAUGCACAAGAGACCAAAACCACAGCCAAGGAAGAGACAAAAGAUUGUGACCAACAUUCUGAGCAAUGAUUUUUUUGCACGCAUCAGGGAGAAGGGAGGGAACAAAUAGAAGAGGAUAAACAAAGGCCACAAAAGGAUUUCAUCUACAUGGUCAUGAACAUAGGUUCUACCUAUUUGCCUUGAAGAGCCUGACAAGUUGAAAUGUCUAUUUCGUCCAAAUGCAAAAGACACUCCUUUCUAUCACCUAUGAAACAAAAUCACGUUUCAGCUUAGAACUGGAGUGGAAAAGAGCUGCAUUAAUGCAUCAGUCAGCUAAAAAAACUGCUUGACAAGAACUUGGGAUUCUAGUGUAACAGCACCUAUUAAGACUCCUCUAGUUUCUUCAUUUUUGCUCUUUCAAAGUGUACAAGUAUUCACAAUUUAUACAGUCUUACCAAAACCACUUCUACAAAGUUUGCAGGGUAUUUGUUAGUUAGUUCAAUUCAUGUCUUUCAUAUUAAAAAGGCAAGGUUUGCAUAAUAAAACUUCCAGAAAAAUGUU